CGAGGUUAGCGAGCAUACAUUCUUGCUUGGUGUUCGCAUUUGGGCGGCUGCAAAACAAUAUGCCACUUCUUCCCUGGUCUCUGGAGAUCUUCGUCUCCAGAUGCCUAAUCGUGCUGGCGGCGACAGCAGCAGCAGCAGCAGCAGCAAGCGAUCGGUCCGGGAGCUGCAGCACCGCCUCUACUUGUCCCUCCAGGGAUUCAUGCUUCUCGGCUCCAGGCUGGCUGUCACGGUAAAUCGAUGGCUAUCGCGUUUCCAUCAUGAAGAUUCCAGGUGUUGGCAAAUGUAGCAUGUUACCGGAUCCCAAACUCGGGCCGCUGCGCCUUUCAGGUGACUUGAUUUGGAGAAGUUUGGGGGAACUUGCUCUGAUGGUUUGAUCAUGUUUGAGUCUCCUCUGGCACGAACGUCACCUCCGAUUCUACAGCCUACAUGAAGUUUCGCCCCAGCUCAAUUCCCUCAACGAUGUCCACGGGGCGGUGUUAGCGAUACACAUCUCAAGCGAGUAGCGAGCUUACUAACGAGCACGGCUUGACCUGGAUACAGGAGUCGAGCGGUCCGAGCGAGUCGCGCAGGACAGUUUGUGGUCUGUGCAGUAACUUCUUCACGACUUGCGCACGCACGCUGGCGCGGCUCCGUGUGGAGGAGGAUUUGCAGGACCAGCUGCUGGCAGAGCGUCAGGUAUUCGUCAAACAUUUUCUUUCGCUGGGCAGGAAGCUGCUGUCCGGGUCCGGGGGAUUCUCAAGGAUGGGGGCGGCUUUGCAGGCGGGAUAGCAUGAAAACGCUACGGGGAACGAUGGCCGCAUUCUCGCUGGCAUUCUCAGAGUCUGAGCGACUUUGUUCAUCUCCUUGUCCUUCUUUUUUGGACAGGAUACUCUGGUAAAGAUGUGCAUCGGGCUACUAUAAUGAAAGCAACCACAGUCACAAGGCAUGUAACGGAACUCGUUGCCGGAGCUCCUUUCUCUCGUUAUUUUCCCAAGUCCCACUGUACUCGUUUUCAGGAAGCAGGGGAAGCAGUGGAGCGUGGUUAGUACGCUGCGAGGAAGAAACCGUCUUCUUCAGAAAAGCAGUGGAAGGCUGCGAUCGAUCAUCCGCAGGGGAUUGCUGUGCGUAGCAAUGGAGUUGAGACGAAAAGCAAGCUGGAAAGUAAAACCAAGCUUCAGAAGGGACGGAAGCGAUCCGGAAAGCACUAUUUUGCUCAUUUUUGCAGAGGGGACUUGCCUGAACAAGGCGGACAAUGUGAUGUUCAAGCAGAUUGUAUUCGAACUGGAUUUCACUGUCUGCAAAGUAAAACAAGAUAAUUGUCCACACUAAGUUUAUACUUUUCAUCA